UACGUAGGGUGCGAGCGUUAAUCGGAAUUACUGGGCGUAAAGCGUGCGCAGGCGGUUUUUUAAGCCAGAUGUGAAAUCCCCGGGCUUAACCUGGGAAUGGCAUUUGGGACUGCAAGGCUCGAGUGCGGUAGAGGAGACUGGAAUUCCUGGUGUAGCAGUGAAAUGCGUAGAUAUCAGGAAGAACACCCGUGGCGAAGGCGGAUUUCUGGGACGGUACUGACGCUGAGACGCGAAAGCGUGGGGAGCGAACAGG
rnacentral:rRNA from 1 species